CUUUUCUUCCAUCCCGAUCAACCUCUAGGUUUUGCAUAUUUUUUCUUCUUUCAUUCCUCUAUCUCAUUUUUCAUCCACCCACAUAAUUCACAAACUCAAUUCAAUUUAGAUAACGUAAAUAGAAAAAAAUUAAGAAUUAGAAGAAAAAAAAAGAUGAGUUUUGUUGAGUUCUUAAUAGAAAAUUUUAAAACUAGAAGAAAUUUCUGAUUGGAGAAAGAAGAGAAAGAAGAAUGGCUAUGAAAUUAGAAAAAAUCAUCAAAAUCAUCGUCAUUAACAAUGAAAUUAGGAUCAAAGGUAACACCUUUAGCAGCCAAUUUUGAAUCCAUAUAUGCCUUUUUUCCUCUUUUGAUCCCAACGCUUCUUGAUGUUUAACUUACACUUGGAAAAUCUUUUGUUUUCAACUGUCAAAAAUAUACGCUGAUAACAUUAGUACUAUUUGCUUGUUAGGUGCAUUAAUAUUGAUUGUGUAAGGAACGUUGAAGACCAAUGAAAAUAAUGAUAAAAGGCACGAUAUUGGAAAAUAAAUCUUUAUAGAAAAAUUAACUUUUAAAACCUCCUGUGUCAAUGUUGUACAGUUCCUGUAAGAGAAACAAUUAAACAUCUUUUUUCAACAGGUGAAGUGGCAGUCUUUAUUCGGGAGUACUAUGCUAGGGCUGCUGGUUUAUUAGGUCCUUGGGUCCAGGUUAAGCAAACAAUGAAGAAAUGGUGGGAUACUCAAGGUAAUCUCAGAUUGAAAUCGGUUUAUCAAGCAAUUCCUAGUAUUAUUAUCUGGUUUCUUUGGAAGAGGAGAAAUACAGUCCUUCAUGGAGGUUCUUAUUUCAGAAAUAAGGUUAUAUGGGAUAUUAAUGCUACCAUCCAUAACUUUAUUACGACAAAGUUCCUUACACAACUUGUCCUAAUACUUGGCCUCAAACGGUGGCAUUUCCGGAAAAUUUCAGACCCAUUUUUGACAGCAAAGUGGUUAGAUGGAGACCUCCCCCUAGUGGUUGGUUAGAAUGUUAUACUGAUGGUACAUCUAGAGGAAAUCCAGGUCCAAGUGCUGCAGCUUUUUGCUUAAGAAAUUGUGAAGGGAUUCUAAUAGGAGCUAAGGGUUUUCAAAUUGCUGAUACUACUAAUCUGGUGGCUGAAGCUAGAGCUAUAAGAGAAGGUCUUCAAUACCGUCGAGAUAAGCAUCUUUCUAACAUAAUUUUGGAAACUGACUCUUUGGCCAUGGUUAACAUCAUUAAGGUGUGUGGGAAAUUCAUUGGAGUGUUUCAAUGGAGGUCAAUACUAUUAGAAGGAUCACAAGUGUUAUUACAGUAAAAGCACAACACUCCCUAAGGGAGGAAAAUACUUUUGCUGAUUUUUUUGCUAACCUAGUUUUUAGUUUUGCAAGUUCAUUUGAAUUCAAUUCAUUUCAUGAAGUUCCAAGUGCUGGGAAGAGAAUUAUUAAUCUUGAUAGAUGUAACACUCCUAUCGUCAGAAUCAGACAGGUUACCUCACCGUUCAAGUGAAAUUAAGAGUUACAAAUCUCAAUUAAGGAGUUACUAAAGAGCAAUCCUACAGUAUAAUUAACUGAUUUACACAUGACGUAUUUAGUGAUUUAUCUAUUUGAUAUUAAAUUAAGUCUGAAGUAAUUUCAUAUGGUUGACAGUACCUACACCUGGUGAGAGCAUUUGAGGUGUUCAUGAGGUACUAAACCAGGACUUAAUUAUUCAAACAAUUGGUCACUUAAACCAAGCUUGUCCAUUUUCAGAUAUAAGUUUAGUUAAACACAACCUUUCGAAAAGGUUUCAGUUGAGUAUUUACGUUUUUAAUGGUGGUAUCAAUCCCUUUUGGGGUUCAACCCAUUGAAGAAUAGAUAUGGAUAUUGAAAAUUUCGAAUAAGUUUCAGUGUUGUACCUGGCCUUGAAAGAGUGAGUGAUAUACAUUGUACACAGAUACUCCAGAAGUGGUUGAUUUGACUGGUAAAUUUUCCCUACUGUCUCUGAAGCACCAAAAUUGUUAGCAGAAUUGGUGAUAUCGUCCUUUGGUCUACAUCUCCAAUGGUGGUAUAAAUCUUAUUUGAGAUACAACCCAUCCAAUAGACAACGGAAAGAUAUACAAUUAAAAAGUCAUAAAAGGGUUACCUUGGUCCUUGCAAUCGACCUCAAGUUCGCUGCCAUCGUCGUCAAGGUGACCGGAGUUCAUGCAGUGACCAUUCAGAUGCUUCAGCCAUUUUCCAUUUUG
rnacentral:lncRNA from 1 species